GACAGAGGGGCCGAGCGUUAGGCGGAAUCACUGGGCUUAAAGCGUGUGUAGGCGGGUCGUUAAGUGUCUUGUGAAAUCCCACCGCUCAACGGUGGAACUGCUGGGCAUACUGGCGAUCUUGAGCCACCUAGGGGCAGACGGAACAAGCGGUGGAGCGGCGAAAUGCGUAGAUAUCGCUUGGAACGCCGACGGUGAAAACAGUCUGCUGGGGGUGUGCUGACGCUGAGACACGAAAGCCAGGGGAGCGAACGGG
rnacentral:rRNA from 1 species